AGUAAAGUAAACUAAUAAAGCUUUUGGGCCCAUACCUCAAAAAUGUAGGUUAAACUCCUUCCUUUACUU
rnacentral:tRNA from 1 species